GCCUGGCUGGCUCAGUUGGUAGAGCAUGGGACUCUCGAUACCAGGGUCAUGGGUUCAAGCCCCACAUUGGGCC